rnacentral:tRNA from 1 species
GAGGGUAUAGCUCAGUGACAGAGUGUGUGCCUAGCACGCAUGAGAUCCUGGGUUCAAUCCUCAGCACCUCCA